GUGAGUCAUCGAAUCUUUGAACGCACAUUGCGCCCCUUGGUAUUCCAUGGGGCAUGCCUGUUCGAGCGUCAUCUACACCCUCAAGCUCUGCUUGGUGUUGGGCGUCUGUCCCGCCUCUGCGCGUGGACUCGCCCCAAAUUCAUUGGCAGCGGUCUUUGCCUCCUCUCGCGCAGCACAUUGCGCUUCUCGAGGUGUCUGCGGGGCCCGCGUCCACGAAGCAUUACCAGUCUUUGACCUCGGAUCAGGUAGGGAUACCCGCUGAACUUAAGCAUAUCAAUAAGCGGAGGA
rnacentral:misc_RNA from 1 species